AGUGAACGCUGGCGGUAGGCCUAACACAUGCAAGUCGAACGGCAGCACAGUAAGAGCUUGCUCUUACGGGUGGCGAGUGGCGGACGGGUGAGGAAUACAUCGGAAUCUACUUUUUCGUGGGGGAUAACGUAGGGAAACUUACGCUAAUACCGCAUACGACCUACGGGUGAAAGCAGGGGAUCUUCGGACCUUGCGCGAUUGAAUGAGCCGAUGUCGGAUUAGCUAGUUGGCGGGGUAAAGGCCCACCAAGGCGACGAUCCGUAGCUGGUCUGAGAGGAUGAUCAGCCUCACUGGAACUGAGACACGGUCCAGACUCCUACGGGAGGCAGCAGUGGGGAAUAUUGGACAAUGGGCGUAAGCCUGAUCCAGCCAUACCGCGUGGGUGAAGAAGGCCUUCGGGUUGUAAAGCCCUUUUGUUGGGAAAGAAAAGCAGCAGGUUAAUACCCCGCUGUUCUGACGGUACCCAAAGAAUAAGCACCGGCUAACUUCGUG
rnacentral:rRNA from 1 species